rnacentral:rRNA from 1 species
UACGUAGGGUGCUAGCGUUGUUCGGAAUCAUUGGGCGUAAAGCGCGUGUAGGCGGUUAGUUAAGUCGGGGGUGAAAUCCCUGGGCUCAACCGAGGAAGUGCAUCCGAAACUAACUAGCUGGAGAAUGGUAGAGGAAGGUGGAAUUCCUAGUGUAGCGGUGGAAUGCGCAGAUAUCAGGAAGAACACCAACGGCGAAGGCAGCUCGCUGGGACGGUACUGACGCUGAGACGCGAAAGCGUGGGGAGCGAACAGG